AUGUGGUUAAGUUACUAAGGGCACACGGUGGAUGCCUUGGCGCUAGGAGCCGAAGAAGGACGCAGCGAACUGCGAUAAGCCUCGGGGAGCGGUAAGCACGCUUUGAUCCGGGGAUCUCCGAAUGGGGAAACCCACCAUCUGUAAUGGGAUGGUAUCCAUCACUGAAUACAUAGGUGAUGAGAAGGCAGACCCGGUGAACUGAAACAUCUAAGUAGCCGGAGGAAGAGAAAACAAUAGUGAUUCCGUCAGUAGUGGCGAGCGAACGCGGAAGAGCCUAAACCGUCGGGUUUACCCGGCGGGGUUGUGGGGCGUCUCACAUGGAGUUACAAAAGACGCGCGUAGGUGAACAGCUUGGGAAAGCUGACCAUAGAGCGUGAUAGUCGCGUAACCUAAACGCGCGUCUCUCC
rnacentral:rRNA from 1 species